rnacentral:ribozyme from 12 species
UAUGAUAUAAACACUAAAAAUAAUACAUGCUAUAUUGAAGCAUUGACCACUUAUGCAUGUCUCUAGAUCUGCCUUUUUCUCUUGAGCUCUUUAUAUCUCUUGACCUCCCUGAUCAGUCCAAAUAUCAUC